UCUUUCUUAAAUUGGAUUCAUUAAAACUAUCUGGUUAUGUUUGUAAUUUUAGAUGAUUUUGUAUCCUGUCAUUGCUAGAUCAGAACUUUGCUUCUCAAUUUAAAUGCCUUUUGAACCCAUUUGCACCUAUAUUUACCAACUUGAUGUCAUGGAAUGUCUUGCUUUUGGGAUAUAAGUAAUACUAGAGUAGCACUCUGUGUCUUGGUUUUGCAAAUGUCUGUCAGUGCCAGAGAGCAAUUACACCAUACCCUCCCAAGUAAUUAUGUGCAUAGAUUGAAAACAAUAAAUUCUUGUGGAGACAAUUUUUAAUGUAUCAUUGAACACUAGAGCAAGGAAGUAGAAGAUAAGUGCAGAAUGGUGACAGAUGACUUUUUUCUCUGUCUGUAAAGUGAAGGGGAGUUGGCAAGAUUGUGAGAUUCAUGAUGCAAUAGACAAUUUUUCAGAAGCAGGUCUCAAGUUUGUGACUCUGAUCUUGCAAUAGACAGCACCUAAUGUUCUUUUGCUUCAACAUACAAAUUUACUGAAGUUUGAUGGUGGCAGAAAAGGGCGUAAACGAGUAAGGAGAAAGCAGAACGAAAUGAGCCAAAAAAUAUUUAGGUUAUCUGACACACCUUAUAAUGAUGCAGCUUCAUUUUAGAGAUAGAUAUGUGGUGCUGGUCUCACCUAGGCCAGAUAGAUGAAGGCACUUGCUCGAAUCUUCAGGGAACUUUCUUGUCAGUCUUGCUCAAUUUAUUUCCCCUACUGCAAUCUGGAAGGCCAAAGUACCACCUGGGUUAUGACUAUGGAUGAUUAUUGUUCAUGGGAGGUUAAUUCCUGUGAUAUGUUUUGAGGAGAAGACCUUGGAUUUUUCUUUUUCCUCAUUGGUGUGAUGUGCAAAGUGGUUGCUGUGAGUGGAGACCACCUGUUUUUACAUUCUCCAGUUGCUUUAGACCUUUGGACAAGACGUUUCUGGGAGACUAUGUUGAGCUGGGAUAAUCAAACCUCAGCUGCUUGUGUUGCUCUGUUGAGUGAAAGGCACAAGUUCUUUUGUGGGAGGAAGACGGGAAUGGUUUUUGGUAAGAUGUGCAUGCUUCAAUAGGAAA